AUAUUAUUCUAAUCACAUGUAUCAAUAUUUUGAAAUGUCCUUUAUUCUCAGAGCCCUGAGCAAAGUAGUUGGCGGGCAUCCAGAUAAAUGGGAUGACUAUCUGGAUGCGGUGAUGUUUGGUCUGCGUACAAAAAAACAAAUGACCACAAAAUACUCUCCCUACUUUAUGAUGUUUGGGAGAGAGGCACGGUAUCCAACACAGGUUCCUGAACACUACGAGGUUGGUUUGUUUUCUAUCAUGACCUAGUAAUGAUACAGGUGCAAAACUCAGAUUUAAAAGUGUUUAAUUAUAACAGCAAAUGUGUUUGUUCAAAGCUUGACAGCACUGUGGAGGAGGUAUUGGCUGAGGAGGACCUGUCACAGGACAUUAAAAGACAGGAAGAGGUCCUGAAACUUGUCAAAGAAAGUAUUGUCAAAGGACAAGAAAAAACAAGGGCCAAAAUAAACUCGAGCUAAGUUAAACAUAAAAGGACAAAUGUUACAGAAUAGGGAGAAAAAAGUAAAAGAUCUCCAGAGAUAUUAAAGAAAUUGAAAAUGAGAUAGACUUUGUAUUUUAUUGUCCUCUGUAUCACGAGUUACAUCAGUAAUUAGGUGUAAGAAAUCUGAGUUGAUGAAGUUAAAUGAUGCAGAGAGACUGUCCUCCAGAAGUAUUUCAAGAGGGCUUGGAAUAAACAAACAAAAACAACAUAUAUGUGAUUUUCAUUAAUUAAUUGAUUUAUUAAUAUAUUCAUUCAUUCUAGUGGCAAAACACCUGUCUUCAAAGUUGGGGACAAAGUUUGGAGACAGAACAUUAGAAGCCAACAGAGGAAGGGGGGGAAGUUGGAUGCCAAUUUUUUGGGACCAUACAAAAUUGUGGCAAUCCAGGGGAAAAGUGUAGAUCUUGUGGAUGACAAAGGGGCAGUCUUCCCCAAAAUCAACAGUGAUCAUUUGAAGCUCUACAUAGCUGACACACCAAAAGUGCCACACUGGGCGGAUAAAAAGCAGGUAAAAGCUUCGGUGGUUGCUCCAUCAUCCCCAUCCCCUGCCGCACCAUCACCUGCUGCACCACUGUCAGCUGCCGCUCCAACACCUGCCACACCACUGUCAGCUGCCGCACUAUCACUUGCCGCACCACUGUCAGCUGCAGCCCCAUCCCCUGCAGCACCAUCACCUGCUGCACCACUGUCAGCUGCAGCCCCAUCCCCUGCAGCCCCAUCCCCUGCAGCACCAUCACCUGCUGCACCACUGUCAGCUGCAGCCCCAUCCCCUGCAGCACCAUCACCUGCUGCACCACUGUAAGCUGCAGCCCCAUCCCCUGCAGCCCCAUCCCCUGUAGCACCAUCACCUGCUGCACCACUGUCAGCAGUAGCUCCAUCCCCUGCAGCACCACCACCUGCUGCACCACUGUCAGCUGCAGCACCAUCACCUGCCGCACCACUGUCAGCUUCCGCUCCAACACCUGCCGCACCACUGUCAGCUGCCGCUCCAACACCUGCCGCACUACUGUCAGCUGCCGCACCAUCACCUGCCGCACCACUGUCAGCUGCAGCCCCAUCCCCUGCAGCACCACCACCUGCUGCACCACUGUCACCUGCCGCACCAUCACCUGCCGCACCACUGUCAGCUGCCGCACCACAGUCAGCUGCCGCCCCAUCACCUGCCACACCACUGUCAGCUGCCGCACCACUGUCAGCUGCCGCACCAUCACCUGCCGCACCACUGUCAGCUGCCGCACCAUCACCUGCCACACCACUGUCAGCUGCCGCACCAUCACAUGCCGCACCACUGUCAGCUGCCACACCAUCCCCUGCAGCACCAUCACCUGCUGCACCACUGUCAGCUGCCGCACCAUCACCUGCUGCACCACUGUCAGCUGCCGCACCACCACCUGCUGCACCACUGUCAGCUGCAGCCCCAUCCCCUGCAGCACCACCACCCGCCGCAUCACCGUCAGCUGCCGCACCAUCAGCAACUCAAUAUACACAAGCUGUUGCAGAGAAGUACGUACAAGAUGCCUGGGCGGGAAAAAAGGUCCAUAUCCUCCUUUCAAAAAUAGGGGCCUACAAAAUAUUUUACUGGGACAUUUACCAAGUUGGUUCCAACAUGGAGAUGGAAAGUGAGGUACAAUGUUCUUAUUUUAACAUGAUUUACAUUUGCAUGUAUAGGGUUGACUAUAUUGUAAGACUGCUAUAGAGGUAGCAAUGUUUUUUCCUAGAAAAUAAUAUAUUAUAUUAAAUUUUUCUUAAGGCAAUCAAUGCAUACCUGUCUGUCAUGGUCAAUGAAUACAAUGACCUGAAUACAGGAAAAGCAGCAUUCAUAGAUUCCUAUUCCAUGAUCAAAAUGUGGAACAGAGGCACUCAAAGACUCAAGGUAUAUUGAAUCUGAAUCUAAGUAUUUUUAUUUAUUUGAAUUGAAAUAAUAUUUUGAGUGAGCUAUUUCUAUAGGCAACUGUUUGAGCAAUCUUUUCACAUUUUACUUUAUGUCUUGUAGACACUGACAUUCUUACAAUAUUUUUUGUUAUAGAUGAAACCCCAGCAGUAUGAAAUUAUUGUGGGGAUCAUAAAUGAGCAUCACUACUGGAAACUAGCGGUAAAAAUGAUUAAUUAUCAUAUAAGUCUGCAACUGCAUUAUAUAACUGAAGAAAGCUUCAGUGCAUAU
rnacentral:lncRNA from 1 species